rnacentral:lncRNA from 1 species
GUAACAAUGUAUCAUUUGGUCGCGAAUAGAUUUAAGGACUAAACGACAAAUCCUCCUUUGUUGAGUCUAAAUAGUCCUAAGGACUUCACCACAACAUAGGAGUUCAUUAGAACAUGAAACAUUUUGUGAUGAAAAGUGCCAAAAUAAUUUUUAUUAAUUCAUAAUUCAUGUACAUAUAUAAAAAUAAGCACAACCGUCAAUAGGC